rnacentral:rRNA from 1 species
AUUUAAAUAACUUAGGUAGUAAAUUAAUUUAAACCUAUAUGACAAUGGCGGCAUUACAUCUUAUUAGAGGAACAUGUUAUUUAAUCGACAACACACGAUAAAUUUCACUUAAUUUUAAAUUUUAUAUAUCUCCGUCCUAAAUUUAUUUUAUAUUUUUUAAAAAAACUCUAAAAGGGUAGGUAAAGGUGUAAACUAUAAAUAAGGCUUAAAUGUGUUACACUAAAAAAAAUUUAAGAAUUUAUGAUAAAAAUCUAUUUAAAAAAGGAUUUAAAAGUAAUAUUUUUUCAAUAUUAAAAUUUGAAUAAGAAAAUGAAUGUGC